ACUGUGUGAAACAUACUGUAUGCACCUCUGUAUGAAAACACUUUCCUGCAGCUUUGCACGGAAGCAGAAGCCAUGAUCUGUGGCAAAUGGAAACAUAAUGCAAAAUAACAGAGUUGCAUAUUGAGAGUUGCAUGCCUUAGAUUUACUCUCAGUUUUAAUCUGCUUUUGUUUGAGGUGUUCCCUGCAGAAUCCCACCCCCUCAUGAUGAAGGACGGGAGGAGAGGUGCAGGGCUACAACCACAUCUUCUGUUACCUUCUCCACUUUCAGGAGGGCAGAAAUGUAAGUACAUCUCAUCUGUCUUUCUUCUUUUUCACUAUGGAGAGCAUUUCUAUUUUCUCAUGCGCUGUAUUUGCCUUGCCUUGUGUUAGGAGUGGAAACUUGUCACACACAAACACACAAAACAAUCAAAGGCACUGCUAAAAAAGAACAGCAGAUUUGUUCUGCAUCACACUGUAGCAUCAUCUCACAAUGUAUAUUAAUGAGAGCCCCCCUUCCACAACACUGCAGACACAUCUGUUAUUUUGCCUAAUAGCAAAUGUCGGUCUGGAUAAUGAUGGUAAUGAUGCCAUGAUCCCCUCAGAGAGGUCGGGUGCUGAGUCUGCAAAAGUAACUAAGAAACACUUCACCAGGCAGCCUGUCAGAUCAAGUCAAGUCAGAUCACAGUUUGCCUCAGAGGGCUUAACAGUCUGUAAAAUAAACCAUCUGUCCUCAGUCCUCUUAAUUUGGAUAGGAAACAAAUCCCCACAAAAAAAACUUUUUACUGAAAAAAUUAUCCAAGAGACCUCAGACAGCCUCUGUUGAAGAACUGAAGUUGCCCCUGUUUUUCUGACAAACACUUUAACUGAUCCAUAGUUUAGUUUUCUGAGCGUGCAAACAUACAAGUUAUGAGAGAUAAGAAACAGGCUCUACAUGACAGAGUCUUUAACCAUUUUAUCUACUGUAAACAGUAAACACCAAUUCACUUCACUACAUGACCGUAAUCUCUCCUGAAUCUUAACAGAAUACUUUUAAGUUGACCAGGAUUUCUCAUAGGUUGCAUAUGAGUAAACAUACUUAUUUGAAUUGCUUUGGUAGACGUGUUCUAAGUCAUGCAUUGAUUUCUGAAGAGGCAUUACAGCAACAUUUGUUAAUGGUUUGUUUAAAGGAGAAGUAGGUGUGGCGUCAAGUCAAGUUCAUCCCCAAGUCCUUGUUGCAAACGUUUAUCUUAUAUUAAAGCAGCAGAGUUUUUAAAUGGGAAUAUUAAGUGAUAUCAGAAUAGAGAGAAAAAUGUAGUGAGUAAAUGAGUUAAUUAAAGUCAUUCAUGAAUAUUCAUUAAUAAAUUGGAGAAAAAGAACAUAAACUCCAAGGACUAAUCCUAUAACAGAAAUAGCAGAUAAAUGAUGUAAAACAAAUAAUGAAAU